UACGUAGGGUGCGAGCGUUAAUCGGAAUUACUGAGCGUAAAGCGUGCGCAACCAGUCUAUUAAGACCGAUAUGAAAUCCCCGGGCUUAACCUGGGAACUGCAUUGGUGACUGGCAGGCUUUGAGUGUGGCAAAAAGAGGUAGAAUUCCACGUGUAGCAGUGAAAUGCGUAGAGAUGUGGAGGAAUACCGAUGGCGAAGGCAGCCUCCUGGGCCAACACUGACGCUCAUGCACGAAAGCGUGGGGAGCAAACAGG
rnacentral:rRNA from 1 species